rnacentral:rRNA from 1 species
CCGACGGUGAGGGGUGAAAGCUGGGGGCACGAACCGGAUUAGAUACCCGGGUAGUCCCAGCCGUAAACGAUGCUCGCUAGGUGUCUGGGAUGGUGCGACCGUUUCAGGUGCCGCAGGGAAGCCGUGAAGCGAGCCACCUGGGAAGUACGGCCGCAAGGCUGAAACUUAAAGGAAUUGGCGGGGGAGCACUACAACGGGUGGAGCUUGCGGUUUAAUUGGACUCAACGCCGGAAAACUCACCUGGGGC